rnacentral:rRNA from 1 species
GCUUGCACCUGGUGGCGAGUGGCGAACGGGUGAGUAAUACAUCGGAACAUGUCCUGUAGUGGGGGAUAGCCCGGCGAAAGCCGGAUUAAUACCGCAUACGAUCUACGGAUGAAAGCGGGGGACCUUCGGGCCUCGCGCUAUAGGGUUGGCCGAUGGCUGAUUAGCUAGUUGGUGGGGUAAAGGCCUACCAAGGCGACGAUCAGUAGCUGGUCUGAGAGGACGACCAGCCACACUGGGACUGAGACACGGCCCAGACUCCUACGGGAGGCAGCAGUGGGGAAUUUUGGACAAUGGGCGAAAGCCUGAUCCAGCAAUGCCGCGUGUGUGAAGAAGGCCUUCGGGUUGUAAAGCACUUUUGUCCGGAAAGAAAUCCUUGGUUCUAAUAUAGCCGGGGGAUGACGGUACCGGAAGAAUAAGCACCGGCUAACUACGUGCCAGCAGCCGCGGUAAUACGUAGGGUGCGAGCGUUAGUCGGAAUUACUGGGCGUAAAGCGUGCGCAGGCGGUUUGCUAAGACCGAUGUGAAAUCCCCGGGCUCAACCUGGGAACUGCAUUGGUGACUGGCAGGCUAGAGUAUGGCAGAGGGGGGUAGAAUUCCACGUGUAGCAGUGAAAUGCGUAGAGAUGUGGAGGAAUAC